GCUUCGUUCGUCCAAUGGAAGGGCCGGGGUUUUGUAAGCCUCAGACGCGGGUUCGAUUCCCGCACGAAGCGCCA
rnacentral:tRNA from 1 species